AUCAAACCCCAUCUUUGAAAAAAUGAAUCUGUGGGACCAAACCUGUAUUAUCUUUCCUGUGAGCCUCCACCAACCUCAGUGAGGACCAAACCUCUCUCUUUCAUCAACAUAACUCAUUUCCAGGACCAACUGUUACCUUAUUUGGCUUGUUGUGACAGCAGAACAAGAGACUAAUCUCCAGAAGCAGCUGAUCAAUAAGAAACUGUCCAGAGGAUAAGAGCAGAAAGAGCCAGUGGUCUGGAAAACAUAAUCUGCUUGGGAAGAUUGAAUAAAUGGUGUAAUUUAAAGCAAAGAAAGUAACUAAGAAGUCCCAGGCCUACUUGAUCUUGUCCAUUUGGCACUGCUGGAGGAAUAACAAGUUUCUUCCCGUCAUGCACCUUCCUGGGAUACAUCAUGACAGAGAAAUCUCAAAGCCCAGGUCAAUUAUAACAGAAGAUGUGUAGCACCUCUGCCCCCACAGUGUCUUCUGGGGAUCCACUUGGCAAAAUGAUAUAAAACUAUUUUCGAAGACUUCCCAUGAUCUGGCACUACUUAGAACUAAGUGGCUGGCCAAAGAAAAUGGGGUGGCUUUGAUGGAGAGAAUCAGAUGUGCCUUCAGUGCAGCCCUGCUCUGGACAGCUGGUGGUUUGCAGAAGGGCAGAGGUGACAGCAGCAGAGGAGGGGACAGGCUCACAGGUCAGCACUCAGCAAGAAGAUCUGGUACAAGGCACCACCGACCAAGUCUUAAUGAUCUUUCAACAGCUGCUGUGGUUGCCUCUCUGUCCACACAACAGAAAAAUACAAUACAGAAACCUUCUACUUUGACAUUUCCAUCAGGAAUUAACUUCCCUGUAUGCCUGCCCUUUGCUAACUUCCCACUUGUGUUGAGUUUGCUUCAAAGAGUAAACAGGGAGCCGUUCCCAGAAGCACAAGCUCUCUUCAUGAAAUCCACUCUACAAGCUAAAGAGUCUUUGACAACACAGGUGGCAAGGAGGUGGGGAAAAAAGCUUCUUUGCAAGGGUCAUAUUGAUUUUUUAAUAGAAAAGAAACAGAGACAUUGUUGCACUCAAAUUUCUCCAGAGGGCAGGACGCCGGUCUGGAGUUGA
rnacentral:lncRNA from 1 species